GGGUUGUGAGGUUAAGCGACUAAGCGUACACGGUGGAUGCCCUGGCAGUCAGAGGCGAUGAAGGACGUGCUAAUCUGCGAUAAGCGCCGGUAAGGUGAUAUGAACCGUUAUAACCGGCGAUUUCCGAAUGGGGAAACCCAGUGUGACUCGUCACACUAUCAUUAACUGAAUCCAUAGGUUAAUGAGGCGAACCGGGGGAACUGAAACAUCUAAGUACCCCGAGGAAAAGAAAUCAACCGAGAUUCCCCCAGUAGCGGCGAGCGAACGGGGAGGAGCCCAGAGCCUGAAUCAGCAUGUGUGUUAGUGGAAGCGUCUGGAAAGGCGCGCGAUACAGGGUGACAGCCCCGUACACAAAAGCGCAUAUGCUGUGAGCUCGAUGAGUAGGGCGGGACACGUGGUAUCCUGUCUGAAUAUGGGGGGACCAUCCUCCAAGGCUAAAUACUCCUGACUGACCGAUAGUGAACCAGUACCGUGAGGGAAAGGCGAAAAGAACCCCGGCGAGGGGAGUGAAAAAGAACCUGAAACCGUGUACGUACAAGCAGUGGGAGCCCCACCACUAAGCCAGUGGUGAACUCCACAUACGCAUCCUUUGCUGAGGAUACGGUUAACGGAGCGAAAGCGACGUUCAACCGCAAAAGAAGCAGAGGGGGCUUAGUGGUGGGGUGACUGCGUACCUUUUGUAUAAUGGGUCAGCGACUUAUAUUCUGUAGCAAGGUUAACCGAAUAGGGGAGCCGGAGGGAAACCGAGUCUUAAUUGGGCGUUAAGUUGCAGGGUAUAGACCCGAAACCCGGUGAUCUAGCCAUGGGCAGGUUGAAGGUUGGGUAACACUAACUGGAGGACCGAACCGACUAAUGUUGAAAAAUUAGCGGAUGACCUGUGGCUGGGGGUGAAAGGCCAAUCAAACCGGGAGAUAGCUGGUUCUCCCCGAAAGCUAUUUAGGUAGCGCCUCGUGAA
rnacentral:rRNA from 2 species